rnacentral:rRNA from 1 species
UGCCACUUGUACAAAAUAAGUGGUACGUCCUGCCCAGUGAAUUUUCAACGGCCGCGGUAUCCUAACCGUGCAAAGGUAGCAUAAUCACUUGCCUAUUAAUUGUAGGCUAGAAUGAAAGGAUAAACGAGAAUAUAGCUGUCUCUACUAGAUCAGUAAAAAUUAAUUUUUGAGUGAAGAAGCUCAAAUACACCCGCAGGACAAGAAGACCCUAUAGAGCUUUACUCUAAACUACACCUAAAGCUAGUUAACAGUUCGGUUGGGGCGACCAGGGGACCAUAAAACACCCCUAAUACAUAAGACCUACAAGUCUUCCAAAAGAUCCUAACUUUAGAUCAACGAAUCAAGCUACCUUAGGGAUAACAGGCUAAUUUCCCUUGAGAGCCCUUAUCGACAGGGAAGUUUGGCACCUCGAUGUUGGCUUAGGGUCUCCUCAUGACGCAGGAGUCAUGACCAGAUGGUUUGUUCAACCAUUAAAUCCCU